rnacentral:rRNA from 1 species
UACGAAGGGGGCUAGCGUUGCUCGGAAUCACUGGGCGUAAAGCGCACGUAGGCGGAUCGUUAAGUCAGGGGUGAAAUCCUGGAGCUCAACUCCAGAACUGCCUUUGAUACUGGCGACCUUGAGUUCGGGAGAGGUGAGUGGAACUGCGAGUGUAGAGGUGAAAUUUGUUGAUAUCUUGAAGACUGAUAAAGGCGAAAGCAACCUUUUAUCUAAUAACUGACGUUGAGGGACGAAGGCUCGGGUCACGAACAGG